AGAGGACAAGCAAUUGUGCAUAAAGAUCAGAUUUUGAUAUGAGAGGAUACCCAAUAAUUAUGAACCUAUGGGUGACCCUCAGAUUUCAAAUCUAUCAAGGCUGGAAUGACUGGAUAGAUUGGAGGUAUGUUCUACAAUCAGUCAGAUGAGAUUCAAUGAGGACAAGUGAAAAGUCCUGCACUUGGGAAGGAAUAAUUGCAUGCACAAUACAGAGGGAAUGCCUGGUUAGGCUGCAGUGCCGAAGAGAAGGACUUGAGGAUUACAAUGGACUAUACAUUGAAUAUGACCCAAGUAUGCUCUCAUUGCAAAAAAAAAAAAAAAAAAAAAUAAAGGCCACAUCAUCCU